CCUACGGGAUGCAGCAGUGAGGAAUAUUGGUCAAUGGGCGCGAGCCUGAACCAGCCAAGUAGCGUGAAGGAUGACUGCCCUACGGGUUGUAAACUUCUUUUAUAAAGGAACAAAGUGAGGCACGUGUGCCUUUUUGUAUGUACUUUAUGAAUAAGGAUCGGCUAACUCCGUGCCAGCCGCCGCGGUAAUACGGAGGAUCCGAGCGUUAUCCGGAUUUAUUGGGUUUAAAGGGAGCGUAGAUGGGUUGUUAAGUCAGCGGUAAAAUGUCCGGGCUCAACCCUGGCCGGCCGUUGAAACUGGGGAUCUGGAGUGGGCGAGAAGUAUGUGGAAUGCGUGGUGUAGCGGUGAAAUGCAUAGAUAUCACGCAGAACUCCGAUUGCGAAGGCAGCAUACCGGCGCCCGACUGACGCUGAGGCACGAAAGCGUGGGGAUCGAACAGGAUUAGAUACCCCGGUAGUC
rnacentral:rRNA from 1 species